rnacentral:rRNA from 1 species
UACGGGGGGUGCAAGCGUUGUUCGGAUUUACUGGGUGUAAAGGGAGCGCAGGUGGCAGUAUAAGUCAGAUGUGAAAGCCCAGGGCUCAACCCUGGGACUGCAUUUGAAACUAUACUGCUAGAGUGCAGGAGAGGUAAGUGGAAUUCCUAGUGUAGCGGUGAAAUGCGUAGAUAUUAGGAGGAACACCAGUGGCGAAGGCGGCUUACUGGACUGUAACUGACACUGAGUCACGAAAGCGUGGGUAGCAAACAGG